rnacentral:rRNA from 3 species
UUGAUAGUACCUUACUACUUGGAUAACCGUGGUAAUUCUAGAGCUAAUACAUGCUAAAAACCCCAACUUCGGGAGGGGUGUAUUUAUUAGAUAAAAAACCAACGCCCUUCGGGGCUUCUUGGUGAUUCAUAAUAACUUUACGGAUCGCAUGGCCUUGCGCCGGCGACGGUUCAUUCAAAUUUCUGCCCUAUCAACUUUCGAUGGUAAGGUAUUGGCUUACCAUGGUUUCAACGGGUAACGGGGAAUUAGGGUUCGAUUCCGGAGAGGGAGCCUGAGAAACGGCUACCACAUCCAAGGAAGGCAGCAGGCGCGCAAAUUACCCAAUCCCGACACGGGGAGGUAGUGACAAUAAAUACUGAUACAGGGCUCUUUUGGGUCUUGUAAUUGGAAUGAGUACAAUUUAAACCUCUUAACGAGGAACAAUUGGAGGGCAAGUCUGGUGCCAGCAGCCGCGGUAAUUCCAGCUCCAAUAGCGUAUAUUAAAGUUGUUGCAGUUAAAAAGCUCGUAGUUGAAACUUGGGUCUGGCUGGCAGGUCCGCCUCACCGCGUGUACUUGUCCGGCCGGGCCUUCCUUCUGGAGAACCUCAUGCCCUUCACUGGGCGUGUUGGGGACCAGGACUUUUACUUUGAAAAAAUUAGAGUGUUCAAAGCAGGCCUUUGCUCGAAUACGUUAGCAUGGAAUAAUAGAAUAGGACGUGCGGUCCUAUUUUGUUGGUUUCUAGGACCGCCGUAAUGAUUAAUAGGGACAGUCGGGGGCAUCAGUAUUCAAUUGUCAGAGGUGAAAUUCUUGGAUUUAUUGAAGACUAACUACUGCGAAAGCAUUUGCCAAGGAUGUUUUCAUUAAUCAGUGAACGAAAGUUAGGGGAUCGAAGACGAUCAGAUACCGUCGUAGUCUUAACCGUAAACUAUGCCGACUAGGGAUCGGGCGAUGUUCUUUUUCUGACUCGCUCGGCACCUUACGAGAAAUCAAA